rnacentral:tRNA from 1 species
GGAGACGUGGGUGAGUGGCUGAAACCACCAGUUUGCUAAAUUGGCGUACGUGCAAGCGUACCGCGGGUUCGAAUCCCGCCGUCUCCG